AUGGCGGCCGACGGCGAGAGACAGCGGGAGGAGGCUAGGGAGCUCGCCAAGUACGAGGAGGACUGCAAAGACUUCAAGGUGUCCACGUACCUGAUCGCCAUGCUCAUCGCGGUCUCCUUGGCGUUCCUGGUCACCAGCUUCCUCGUCCCGCGCACGCCCCAGUGGUACCGCACCUACUUCUUGCAGUGCGCGGUGCUGUUUUUCCUUGAUGCCGCGUUCGGCUUCUGCCUCAUCACGCGGAGAUUCGGCUGGUUCGCUUUGCCCAAGAGGCCUGAUGUCGAAGGCCAGCCCCGUGGAGAAGACAAGCCAGAUCUCGAAAUCCAGCUCGGUGCGGUGGAGGCGACGGGCGCUGAUCGUUUCUGCCCAGUUUAA
rnacentral:rRNA from 1 species